UCCAGACUCCUACGGGAGGCAGCAGUGGGGAAUAUUGGGCAAUGGGCGCAAGCCUGACCCAGCAAUGCCGCGUGAAGGAAGAAGGCUUUCGGGUUGUAAACUUCUUUGACAGGGGAAGAGCAGAAGACGGUACCCUGAAAACAAGCCACGGCUAACUACGUGCCAGCAGCCGCGGUAAUACGUAGGUGGCAAGCGUUGUCCGGAUUUACUGGGUGUAAAGGGCGUGUAGCCGGGAAGGCAAGUCAGAUGUGAAGUCUGGAGGCUCAACCUCCAAAUUGCAUUUGAAACUGUUUUUCUUGAGUACUGGAGAGGCAGACGGAAUUCCUUGUGUAGCGGUGAAAUGCGUAGAUAUAAGGAGGAACACCAGUGGCGAAGGCGGUCUGCUGGACAGCAACUGACGGUGAGGCGCGAAAGCGUGGGGAGCAAACAGGAUUAGAUACCCCAGUA
rnacentral:rRNA from 1 species